rnacentral:piRNA from 1 species
UUGCAGAGGAUCCAGUAGGCAAGGGCGU